rnacentral:rRNA from 1 species
CACGUAGGCGGAUUGCUAAGUCAGGGGUGAAAUCCUGGAGCUCAACUCCAGAACUGCCUUUGAUACUGGUGAUCUUGAGUCCGGGAGAGGUGAGUGGAACUGCGAGUGUAGAGGUGAAAUUCGUAGAUAUUCGCAAGAACACCAGUGGCGAAGGCGGCUCACUGGCCCGGUACUGACGCUGAGGUGCGAAAGCGUGGGAGCAAACA